rnacentral:rRNA from 1 species
ACGUACACUCCUACGGGAGGCAGCAGUGGGGAAUAUUGGACAAUGGGCGCAAGCCUGAUCCAGCCAUGCCGCGUGAGUGAUGAAGGCCCUAGGGUUGUAAAGCUCUUUCACCGGUGAAGAUAAUGACGGUAACCGGAGAAGAAGCCCCGGCUAACUUCGUGCCAGCAGCCGCGGUAAUACGAAGGGGGCUAGCGUUGUUCGGAUUUACUGGGCGUAAAGCGCACGUAGGCGGACUAUUAAGUCAGGGGUGAAAUCCCGGGGCUCAACCCCGGAACUGCCUUUGAUACUGGUGGUCUUGAGUUCGAGAGAGGUGAGUGGAAUUCCGAGUGUAGAGGUGAAAUUCGUAGAUAUUCGGAGGAACACCAGUGGCGAAGGCGGCUCACUGGCUCGAUACUGACGCUGAGGUGCGAAAGCGUGGGGAGCAAACAGGAUUAGAAACCCUGGUAGUCCC